GAAUGCAGGCGCAAAACAAUGGCGGAUGAACAGAAAUGAAGUUAGCACGGAUAUUAGCACGCUUUAUUAGUUUCCAUUUCUGUCUUCAAACUUUUUCGCUGCGUUGACUUAACGAUGGCGGGAAGUCUUUCCAGUGAACAUAAAUCUGUCAAAUAUGAAUAUUUGGACCACACUGCUGAUGUUCAGCUUCAUGCUUGUAUCCUUUUAAUCUAAUGUUUUUUACUCAAUUUAUUUUUGUUUGAGGAGCUGCCCUGUGGAAACUAAACUUAUAGCUAUUUAAAUAUUAUUAUUAUUAUUACUAUUAUUUAGUAAUUGGACUUCUACUGAGUCCAUGUUUAUUAGACUAUUGAACCUGGCAAACUUAUGAAUGACAUGAGACAAAGAAAAUGAAUGGGCAAGAGAUAAUUAAAUGUUACAACCAAACCUUAGGGCAAACAAGUGAACAAAACCAAGAAAAGAUAUCGUUCUUACUUCAAGGUAAACCCAAAAUUUUGUGCUAUCAUGUGCUGGAGAAAAAUAGUGUACUGUGCA